rnacentral:rRNA from 1 species
AUGGAGGUGUGCUGCUGCUCCACCUCGUCCUCCCUCCUCGCCGGCGGCCGCUUCGCCGCGCCGGUGGCGUCCGCGCGGGCGCGGCAGUGGGGCGCGGCGGGGGGCGGGAGGGCGGUCGUGCUGGCGCACCCGCCGCGCCCGGCUGCCGCAGCCUCUCGGCCCGCGCGGCUCGCGCGCCGCGGGGUCAUCCGGGCCGUCUUCGAGCGCUUCACGGAGCGCGCCGUCAAGGCGGUGGUGCACUCCCAGAAGGAGGCCCGGGGGCUCGGGGAGGGCGCCGUGGCGCCGCGCCACCUGCUGCUCGGCCUCGUCGCCGAGGACCGCUCCGCCGGGGGCUUCCUCUCCUCGGGGAUCACCGUCGAGCGCGCGCGCGAGGAGUGCCGCGGCCUCAUCGGCGGCGCCGCCCAGAAGGCGGGCGGGCUCGACACCGACGUGCCCUUCGACGGGGGCUGCAGGCGCGUCUUCGAGGUCGCCGUCGAGCUGUCCAGGAACAUGGGCUGCAGCUUCAUCUCCCCCGAGCACCUCGCCAUCGCGCUCUUCACGCUCGACGAUCCCACCACCAACAAUCUCCUCAGAAGCUUGGGAGCGGAUCCGAGUCAGCUAGCGUCAGUUGCAGUCACCCGACUCCAUGAAGAGCUUGCAAAAGAUGGCAGAGAUCUCGCAGGAGCAUCUUCUCUCAAAGUGCCCGAGAAAGCACCCGCUGGAGCUGGAGCUGGAAGAUCUGCCUUCAGCAAAUCCUUGAGUAAAAAGAAAGAUAAAGGUGCGCUAGAUCAGUUUUGUCUAGAUUUGACCACACAAGCCAGUGGAGGGUUUAUUGACCCCAUUAUUGGCCGUGAGGAGGAGAUCGAAAGGGUGGUUCAGAUAAUAUGCCGGCGAACAAAGAACAAUCCCAUUCUUUUGGGUGAGGCAGGUGUUGGUAAAACUGCAAUUGCUGAAGGGUUGGCCCUUCGGAUUGCAAAUGGAGAUGUCCCCAUUUUCCUCGUGGCAAAGCGGAUAAUGUCGCUAGACAUUGGCCUGCUUAUUGCUGGCGCAAAAGAGAGGGGUGAACUGGAGUCCAGGAUCACUAGUUUAAUUCGCGAAGUCCGUGAAGCAGGUGAUGUUAUUCUUUUCAUCGACGAGGUUCACAAUCUUGUUGGAUCUGGAACUGCUGGGAAGGGUAAGGGUGCUGGCCUUGAUAUUAGCAAUCUCCUGAAGCCCCCACUUGCCAGAGGUGAACUGCAGUGCAUUGCAGCUACAACUUUAGAUGAACACCGGAUGCAUUUUGAGAAGGAUAAGGCUUUGAACCGCAGGUUCCAGCCAGUAUUUGUAGAUGAGCCUAGCCAGGAAGACGCUGUGAAAAUAUUACUUGGUCUUCGUGAGAAUUAUGAAGCUUAUCAUAAAUGCAAAUUCACUCUAGAAGCCAUCAAUGCAGCAGUUUAUUUGUCAGCAAGAUAUAUCCCAGACAGACAGCUUCCUGAUAAGGCUAUUGAUCUUAUUGACGAAGCUGGCAGUAGAGCUCGAAUUGAAUCAUAUCAAAAGAAGAAGGAAGGACAGUCUUCCGUUCUCUUAAAGGAGCCGGAUGAAUACUGGCAGGAGAUAAAAGCUGUCCAGGCCAUGCAUGAAGUGGUGUUAUCUAACAAGAUGAAAUAUUCUCCGAAUGAGAAUAAGCAACAGAAUGCGAGUGUUAACACUGAAGCGCCACAUCAGGAUAAGGCUGAGUCAACAAUUGAGGAGCCUAUUGUAGUUGGAACAGAAGAAAUUGCAAGAGUCGCCUCAUUAUGGUCGGGUAUUCCAGUCCAGCAGCUGACUGCUGAUGAUAAAAAGAUCUUAGUAGGACUGGAUGAUGAGCUUAGAAAGCGUGUUAUUGGUCAAGAUGACGCUGUUGCGGCGAUAUCGCGGGCCGUGAAGAGAUCACGUGUAGGCCUCAGUGACCCUGACAGACCUAUAGCUACGAUGCUCUUUUGUGGUCCUACAGGGGUUGGUAAAACCGAGCUUACCAAAGCUCUUGCAGCAAGUUACUUUGGAUCGGAAUCUGCUAUGCUUAGACUAGACAUGAGUGAAUACAUGGAGAGGCACACAGUGAGCAAACUGAUAGGCUCUCCUCCAGGGUACGUUGGAUAUGGUGAAACUGGUACUUUGACAGAAGCAGUCAGGAGAAAACCAUUCACCGUGGUACUGCUUGAUGAAAUAGAGAAAGCUCACCCUGAUAUUUUCAAUAUCCUUCUCCAAAUUUUUGAAGAUGGGCAUCUAGCAGACUCACAGGGUCGCAGAGUUUCGUUCAAGAAUACAUUGAUUGUCAUGACAUCAAACGUUGGUUCUACGUCAAUUUCCAACGGACGACGGAGCAUGGGUUUCUCAACAGAGGACACCGAAUCAAGCAGAUAUGUCGCAGUGAAAUCCCUCGUGAUGGAAGAGUUGAAGGGAUUCUUCCGUCCAGAAUUACUCAACAGAAUCGAUGAGACGGUUGUAUUCCGUCCUCUGGAACAGACUCAGAUGCUAGCAAUUCUCGAUAUCCUCCUAGAGGAACUGAAGGGCAAGCUCUUGGCCGUCGGGAUCGGCCUAGAGGUCUCCGACGCGAUGAAGGAGCUGAUCUGCCGAGAAGGCUACGACAAGAACUACGGCGCGCGGCCACUGAGGAGAGCCAUCACCCAGCUGAUGGAGGAUGUCAUCAGCGAGGCGAUUCUUUUCGGCGAGUACAAGCCUGGCGACACGAUACUGGUGGACACCGACAGCAAGGGGAAGCCUUGCUUGAGUCGUCUGAACCAACCACCGAUCGUCCAAGUGUCUGACUCAACACGGACAUUCUGA